CGUUCCGAAAUCGAUGCGGUCACCAUUUCAACUAACUCUUACUUUUGAGCACAUUGACCCAUAAUGUGGGCAAGAUAACCGACACGGAACCCCACAGGACUACAAAUGGACUGGUUCCACUGUAACCAGUGCUUUACAAGGAGCGGGUCGAGGUUCGCCGUGUCCAGCUGUGGCCACAUCUGCUGUGAAGCAUGCAUUAAAUCUAAGCAGUGCAGUGUAUGCGGGGCCAGCUGCAGCUACUUGCCCAUCACAGAUGAGAUGAAGCCACAGGAAAAGGUGUUUUUCAAGGAUCCCAUGAAGCUCAUCCAGUCACGGCUGGACCACAUUUCACAGAUUGCCCUUUUUCAGCGGACGCAGACGGAGAGAGUCACGACGCACUUCAAGCACAAGUCUGUUGAGCUGGAGAGGCGUCUGAAGGAAGUCACUGAGCAGGGUUACAGGCAACUCUCUGAGCUGAAAAGAGAGAACGUUGACUUAAAAAAGCAGCUUUCCGAGCUGAAAAGAGAGACUGCUGAUUUGAAAAAGCCACUUUCUCAGCGACGGGUUUCUCCAGGACAGUUUAAUAUUAAUGGAACUCAACGGAUGUCACUCCCUGUGGGUGUCACCUCUCCAGUUACCCCUCGUUCAAGAACCAUGAGUUACAUUGGCUCAGCCGAGUCUCAAGGGUUGGCCAGAGACCGAGGUCCCAGUCUGUCCACCCUCACAACUCCUGGAUCAGCCACCUCGAUGUCGAGCCACAGUUCUCUUCAUGAAUAUGUCCACACUCUUCAGGUUUCUUCAUGAACCCACAACUGGAAAGAGAAGACUCCAAAAUACUGAAUCUGAAACCAAGAUUAAAGAUUUACAAAGACAACUGCAGCAGAGCCACGAGGACGCGGAUCGAGAGGGGAGGACCACAGGAGGCAGCACGGGCACAGCAAUGUUGAAACUGAGUGAAGUGGAAGAUAAGACGAUCCAUCCCAGCAGGGUGAUCUUGGAUCCAAACACAGCGCACCAGAGAAGAGCUCCGUCUGCAGAGAACAGCGAGAUAUCCACUUCUGUGGAAAUACGAGCCGGCCUCCACCAUCCAGGCCGGUUUCAUGUGAAUCUCUCCGUCCUGGGCACAAUCGGCUUCUCCUCUGGCAGACGUUACUGGGAGGUGCCGAGAGGCUUUGUUACCGCCUCGGGGGACGGCCAGCCAAUCUUCUCAAAGAAAGGGAGCGAACAACAUUCAAUCCGACGGUUCUGAACAAACGGGGUCAGCACACAGCA